UACGAAGGGGGCUAGCGUUGCUCGGAAUCACUGGGCGUAAAGCGCACGUAGGCGGCUUUUUAAGUCAGGGGUGAAAUCCUGGAGCUCAACUCCAGAACUGCCUUUGAUACUGAGAAGCUUGAGUCCGGGAGAGGUGAGUGGAACUGCGAGUGUAGAGGUGAAAUUCGUAGAUAUUCGCAAGAACACCAGUGGCGAAGGCGGCUCACUGGCCCGGUACUGUCGCUGAGGUGCGAAAGCGUGGGGAGCAAACAGG
rnacentral:rRNA from 1 species